GAGAGGAGAGGAGAGGAGAGGAGAGGAGAGGAGAGGAGAGGUCACAUCUGAACAGCACCCAAGUCAGAGAUACAACUAGAAAAAAAUGACAGAAGGAAAGAAUAAAGACAAAUGGGUGAACAGGACACAGAUGGGGAAACGACCAACUAGUUGGGAAAGACAGACAAUGUGCUCAGGAAGAUGGUUUCUCUAGGUCACUAAGAGGGUAGGGAUUAAAGAGAUCAGAGGAAAGGAAAGUGAGGAAAAGGGAAAUCAGUAAGGAGAUCAAAUAAGUUAUCGGUGCCCAAGUGCAUAUCUAAAUGCUUAGAAAAUCCCCAGGCUGUUGGGCUCACCCAGAAGAGCCACAGCCAUACCCAAGAGGGGACCAUCAGAAAGACAGAAGCAGGCAAUUUAAGCAGCCAGCUACUGGGAUAGGAAAAAAAAAAAGAAAAGAAAAGAAAAAAAUAGAAGACAGAAAAGGUGAGAAGCAGGAAAGGAAAAGCCCAGAGGAGGCACUGGCCCAGAAACCUUUUUAACUUUCUGUAAGAAUCUUUAAGGCCCCAAACUAGGCCAGGAUUCUGACUGACAUUUCUGAGCGCACCAGCUGCUGUUUCUCGGGGAGGAUUCUGACAGGAAGGCAUAGAAAUGCAAGCCAACACUGCCAGCCCUGGAAGUAAAUAAAUAAUAUUCUGCGAAACAUGUCAAUGGGGACAGAAGCCUGCGGGAAGAAAGCCCACAGAGGAGGUGGCACCAGCCUGCACCUCUCCCCAGCUCCACCAGGGCUCUGAGUCUGCACCUAGAGGGAGCUGAACUCUCAGAGGGCAGCUGAGGAGAUCCCACGGGGGCCUACAGCCUGUGCCUCACUCCCCACAGAGCUUCUGAGAAAGACACAAGGAUGAGGAGCCCCCACCCACUGCUGAGCCCAAGGAUGGCUUCAGGUGCUUCCUCUACCCACUGGAGCCCUGACUCUUUGUUUUCAAGGCCUGGACGAGGGACAGUGGACUCUCCAAUAUCUGUUCUAGAGGCUACCACACCUCAUGAGGGAGCUGCCCCUUGCUCUGGCUGGUCAAACGGAACCAAGUCCGUCUUCCUGAGAGGUUUGGUCCCCUUCAACCAGCUACAGCAGGGCUGGCAAUGCCCAGUUCUUGGAGAAAUAGAAGAGAUUCGCCUACAGAUGAAAUUAUCUGCUAAAAUUUUCCAUGUGAAAAAUAACUGUUAGCUGAUCAUCAUACCUGCAUGAUUCCAAGGAAGGCAGAAAAAUAGAAGACCCAGGUUCAAAAGAAAGCAAGGUGCUCAACACAUAAAGGUUUUGUGGCCAACUAGAGCCACUAUGUACCCUUGACAUGAACAGCUUUAACGAUGAUGUCUGUACAGCCCUGGCCAGCCAAGGGAGGACACUCAGGCUUGGAGGGCAGACAGGGAAGGCAAGGCUGUCAGUGGCCUCGGUAAAGAAACUAGACUUCUAACUAUGGCACAGUUCAAUGGAAUUGCAGGUCAGAUCACAGCAAGUACCAAGACAUAAUUCUUACAUAGCCCACCAAGUAUGCCUAGGAUGUAUUUGCCAUGUUAUUAACUUCAAAUAACCCUUUAUUUUCUCAUCUGUAAAAUAGAGACCAUGACAUAUACCUCAAAGUGCUGUAAGAUUUUUUUUUUAAAUAAUAGUCAAAUAUAGGAAAUGGUCAUUGCUGUCAUUUUGCUCUUGUAUAUGGUUUUAGCAUGAGGACAAGCCCUUGUCCAGAGGUAUUCAUACCUGGAAUGGAAGGGCCGAAUUUUAAAAACAUAGGAGUACUCAAAGCAUAAAACUUUAUUUCAGGUUACUUUUAUUCCAUCCAUUAAUUCCACUAGCAGGUAAACUGUGCUCGUUCUACUCCGCAUUAUUAGACUGUAGCAAAAAUAUGAGGCACACAUUACCUUCUUAAAGAAAUAUCUUGCCUGAGAAGCUUUGGUUAAUACGUGCUCUCAUGACCCAGUCUACAGCCACAUGUCCUCCUGUAUUUGACAGCCAUGGAGUAUGGACACCAAAGGUCAGUUCAGAGCAGAGCUGUGAGGUGUGCUGGAACUAGACCACCUGGGUUCAAGCCCCAGCUCCCUAUUUACCAGCUGUGCUACCUUGCUUGGGUUUCUUGACCUCUCUGGACCUAUGCUUUCUCAGCAGUAGAGUGGGGAUAUUGAUAACAGUAGCUUAUAGAGUAUUCAUGCAAAUGAAAUGAAAAUAUAUGUUAAGGCCUGAAACUAUUACUGGGUACAUAACAAGAUCUCAAGAGGUUUUACCUAUGGCAAUGUUCCUGAAAUUAAACUGGUAUCCUAUAAAAACUUCUUAAUAAACAAUCAUCUUC